rnacentral:rRNA from 1 species
UGAGGAAUAUUGGUCAAUGGGCGAGAGCCUGAACCAGCCAUCCCGCGUGCAGGAUGACGGCCCUAUGGGUUGUAAACUGCUUUUCCGCGCCAAGAAACCCCCCGACGUGUCGGGGGCUGACGGUAGCGCGGGAAUAAGCACCGGCUAACUCCGUGCCAGCAGCCGCGGUAAUACGGAGGGUGCAAGCGUUAUCCGGAUUCAUUGGGUUUAAAGGGUGCGCAGGCGGGGAAAUAAGUCAGUGGUGAAAUACUGCCGCUCAACGGUAGGGCUGCCAUUGAUACUGUUUUUCUUGAGUAUGGUUGAGGCAGGUGGAAUGUGUUGUGUAGCGGUGAAAUGCAUAGAUAUGACACAGAACGCCGAUUGCGAAGGCAACUUGCUAAGCCAUCACUGACGCUGAGGCAC